rnacentral:miRNA from 1 species
UCCCCAAGAUGUCAAACUAGU